rnacentral:pre_miRNA from 1 species
CAAAUACUCCCUCCGUCCGGAAAUACUUGUCAUCAAAAUGGAUAAAAGGAAAUGUAUCUAGACGUAUUUUAGUUUUAGAUACAUCUAUUUUUAUCCAUUUUGAUGACAAGUAUUUUCGGACGGAGGGAGUAAAAA